GCCAAGGCCAGUGGUCACCCUGGGAGCUGCUGCCCGGGCAGUGACUUGGGGGCAGGAUGGGGGUCAGGGCUGAGCACACCCUCCAGCCUUGGGGUGUCUCAGAAUGACCUCAACUCCUGGCCUCGGGCCACAGGCUCCUGUCUGUCCCCAGGACUUCCGGUGUUCACCCUCACGUGCGGGGUCAGUCACAUCUCAUCUCCCAGCCUCCCUGGGCAGCAGGACCCUGGACGGCCUUGGGGUCAAGGUCCUCCCUCCCCCAGCUCCCCAGGCUGGACAACCAGGGAACUGAGCUGCCCAUGAGUCCGCACAUUAGGUGGUGUCCAUGGAGGAGGAACUGUCGGCUGCUGAACUCCCCACGGAAAAGCGAGAUCGUGGCCCCAAAUCAGAGAACGUACCGGCCAAGACUCCCAGGAGGUGUGGAGGAGUUGUAGCGAGAGUGGACGUCCUUGCCUCAUCCCAGUCCUGGACGGGGGGUGCAGACCUUCUCCAACGUGUGCAAUGCUGAACGUGCUUGGCACGAGUUCUUCGCCAGUGCUCUGUAUUAGAUUGAAAACCUUUCUGAUCCUCGUUUCCGAGCUGUCGUCACGGACGGAUGCUGGGUCCGCAGCACACGGUAUGAAUGCUCCCAGUUGCUGGUAACAGGUGCUUUCGAGCCUGAGUCCGAUCAUCCAGCAUCUGGGCCUCCCAGGCCUGUUUAUUGUUUCCCACACCAGUUGAGAUUUUCCUGGGGCUUUCAUGCCAAGUAAUUUUGGGUUUUGUCCUGAAACUCAGAAUUCUUGAUGAAUGAACUCUUUUCAGUUUGUUGUGUGCCUUGAGCACUAAAACGGUUGUUUCUGACAGUUUUCCCAGGUGUAUAGUCGCAUUCUGGGGAGAACAUUUGUUGACCUCCUCACCCCUUCACGCCCGAAAUCUGUAAUGUCUUUCAUUACUCAAUUCAUCCUUUCAUCAACUGUAUCUAUUGAAUGUCUACUACAUGGCCGAUUCUUUCUUAGCCAUUGGGCGCACGACGGACACAAACUCUCUUCCUGUAGAUUUUGUUUAACCAACAAGUAAACAAAUUAGGCUAUUCCCAGCAGUGAAAAGCACUGUUAAUAAAGAUCAUGUCUAACUUUCACCACUA